AGAUGAUGGAAGGCAGCUGGUGAUCAUUUUGGCCUGUAGUGCCGCGGUGUGUGUUGGACUGUUGUUGUUGUUGUGUGGAGGACUGUUGUCUCGUCGUCUGAAAAGAGCAACAGCAGUCGGAGGGAACGGUGAUUCCAGUGCAGCUGACAACAUCUACAGUAAAGUCGCAGAGACACAGAACGAUCAAGCAAACCCAGGCACAGCCACAGAGGGGAACGAGAGUGAAGAACUCAAUUACCUGGCCUUCUCCCAGACCGCUCCCCAUCUCAACCCACACAGACAACGGAGGCGGUCUCGUUCUGAACUGGAAGAAAAUGAUAAAGUGGUCUAUGCAAGCAUCAACAACGCGUGAUAUGCUGCAAUCAAAUCGAUCAACGAAACAAAAAGUCCACAUAAAAAACUGCAUCUCAUGUCUGUACAGUGUAAAUCCAUUCGGGAUGGAAGAAGCCAUCUGUAGAAGCCAGAUUUUCCAUGACUUGUUCACAUGUGAAUUUGCCACCGUUUCAUUCUUUCUUGCUAAAUGAAGCUUUUACGAAAAAGUAAUAAUAUUUGCGUUUGUGUUAAACAUUGUUACAAGCUUUUGCAUACCACUACAAGGCUAAAGAGAUUUUCGUCAUGUAAAUAUGCACUGUUGUGUAUCAUUGAAAUAAUUUAAAUAGGCAAUAUUAAAAAUGAUUCAAUAUCCCACAUACAAAAAAAAUAAUAAUAAGUAAAGCGCAAAUAGCGCAUUGGUUGGUGGAAGCCCAAUUUGUUGUAUACACAACAUGUAAGUAAACGUGCAAUUAGGUGUAAACUUGCGAUAUAGUGUAAAACAAAGUCACGGUUCAUCUUCCAGUUAAGGAAAUUAUUUUCUAAAACAAGCUAAACCAGUUAAAACCAUUACAACCAAUUUUAAACCAAUGAGCUUUAAUUAUUGCAGUUAUACAAUGUUUUGGUGUCGGUCUGCAUAAACACAGGCAGUGUGAGUCAACAUGUCAAUGAGCCUUUUUCAAUGAUAGGAAGGGAUUUACAAUGGUCUUGUAACAAUGAUUUAACACAAAAAUCUUACCGAUUGUACCUUUAACUUGCUUUGUUUCCUCAAAUUGGCGAAUAACUCAUAUCCAGUGAUGGCAAUGUCGAAAUAAAGGCGUACUUGUUUGUGUUGACAA